rnacentral:rRNA from 1 species
UACGAAGGAUCCAAGCGUUAUCCGGAUUUAUUGGGUUUAAAGGGUGCGUAGGCGGCUUUUUAAGUCGGGGGUGAAAGCCUGUGGCUCAACCACAGAAUUGCCUUCGAUACUGUAGAGCUUGAGACCGGAAGAGGUAAGUGGAACUGCGAGUGUAGAGGUGAAAUUCGUAGAUAUUCGCAAGAACACCAGUGGCGAAGGCGGCUCACUGGCCCGAUACUGACGCUGAGGCACGAAAGCGUGGGGAGCAAACAGG